ensembl:lncRNA
UGUUUUGUGUUUGCAUGCUGCAUUCAUGCGUAACUUUUUAUGCAAGCACGCAGUGAUUUUUAAAGGUUCACAACUAAUUACAUUUUUACUGGUGUCUAGUUAAAUCAAAAUAUAUAUAUUUUUUAAUCUCUUCCAUUAGUCUGUUGUUAGUCUUUAGUGUGUAGUUAGUGUGUAGUUAGUGUGUAGUUAGUGUGUAGUUAGUGUGUAGUUAGUGUGUAGUUAGUGUGCAGUUAGUGUGUAGUUAGUGUGUAGUUAGUGUGUCGUUAGUGUGUAGUUAGUGUGUAGUUAGUGUGUAGUUAGUGUGCAGUUAGUGUGAAAUUAGUGUGUAGUUAGUGUGUAGUUAGCGUGUAGUUAGUGUGAAAUUAGUGUGUAGUUAGUGUUUAGUGUGUGUGUAGUUAGUGUGUAGUUAGUGUGAAAUUAGUGUGUAGUUAGUGUGUAAUUAGUGUGUAGUUAGUGUGUAGUUAGUGUGAAAUUAGUGUGUAGUUAGUGUGUAGUUAGCGUGUGUUAGUGUGUAGUUAGUGUGUAAUUAGGUUGUAGUUAGCAUGUAGUUAGCGUGUAGUGUGUAGUUAGUGUGUAGUUAGU